GGCCCUGUAGCCAAGUGGUAAGGCAUGGCUCUGCAAAAGCUUGAUCGACGGUUCAAAUCCGCCCAGGGCCUCCA
rnacentral:tRNA from 3 species